rnacentral:rRNA from 1 species
UACGUAGGGUGCGAGCGUUGUCCGGAAUUAUUGGGCGUAAAGAGCUUGUAGGCGGUUUGUCGCGUCUGCUGUGAAAAUCCGGGGCUCAACCCCGGACUUGCAGUGGGUACGGGCAGACUAGAGUGCGGUAGGGGAGAUUGGAAUUCCUGGUGUAGCGGUGGAAUGCGCAGAUAUCAGGAAGAACACCCGUGGCUAAGGCGGCUCUCUAGUACGGUACUGACGCUGAGACGCGAAAGCGUGGGGAGCGAACAGG